rnacentral:rRNA from 1 species
ACGGGGGGAGCAAGCGUUGUUCGGAAUCACUGGGCGUAAAGGGCGUGUAGGCGGUCAAGUAAGUGGGAUGUGAAAUCCCUCGGCUCACCCGAGGACCUGCAUCCCAAACUGCUUGGCUUGAGUAUGGGAGAGGAUGAGGGAAUUCCUGGUGUAGCGGUGAAAUGCGUAGAUAUCAGGAGGAACACCGGUGGCGAAGGCGCUCAUCUGGCCCAAUACUGACGCUGAGGCGCGAAAGCUAGGGGAGCAAACGGGAUUAGAUACCCCGGUAGUCCUAGCCGUAAACGGUGAUCACUAGGUGUUGGAGGCAUCGACCCCUCCAGUGCCGCAGCUAACGCAUUAAGUGAUCCGCCUGGGGAGUACGGCCGCAAGGUUG